CCUACGGGAGGCAGCAGUGGGGAAUUUUGGACAAUGGGCGAAAGCCUGAUCCAGCCAUUCCGCGUGCAGGAUGAAGGCCCUCGGGUUGUAAACUGCUUUUGUACAGAACGAAAAGGUUUCUAUUAAUACUAGGAGCUCAUGACGGUACUGUAAGAAUAAGCACCGGCUAACUACGUGCCAGCAGCCGCGGUAAUACGUAGGGUGCAAGCGUUAAUCGGAAUUACUGGGCGUAAAGCGUGCGCAGGCGGUUAUAUAAGUCAGAUGUGAAAUCCCCGGGCUCAACCUGGGAACUGCAUUUGAGACUGUAUAGCUAGAGUACGGUAGAGGGGGAUGGAAUUCCGCGUGUAGCAGUGAAAUGCGUAGAUAUGCGGAGGAACACCGAUGGCGAAGGCAAUCCCCUGGACCUGUACUGACGCUCAUGCACGAAAGCGUGGGGAGCAAACAGGAUUAGAUACCCUGGUAGUCCACGCCCUAAACGAUGUCAACUGGUUGUUGGGUCUUAACUGACUCAGUAACGAAGCUAACGCGNGAGUGACGCGNGGNGGUAACGGCGCGAGUUAGUAAGUUACGAAGAAGUUAGAGGCGNGAGAGNGCGACGGACGACGACGAGGGAGGAGG
rnacentral:rRNA from 1 species